rnacentral:lncRNA from 1 species
UUCACAUUCAUUCUCAUCAUCCAAACACAAAGCCAUACACGCAUCAAUCAAUGUCUCAUCAUCCUCUCUUCCUCUGAAAGAACAGCGUUCAGUUUCUUCUUCCCCUUCCUGUGGUGCCGUGCGGUGUUUCAUGGCAGCAACAACCGGGUGAAGCAACGAAAACGACGCUGUUCUGAACAACAAAACGAGAAAAAACAAUGGAGGUUGAGAGGAUGAAACAGUUGAUGCUUCUUUCUUUUGGAAAACAAAGUUCACAUGUGGCUCUUGUGGGUGGAAACCACACCGCUGCAAGGUUCUGCACUCGCUAAAGUUCUCACUUUUUCCGGUUUUUUCUUCAUUUUCGUAUUCAUUUUCUCUUUUCUGCAUCUGGGUCAUCUUCAUUUUUUAGAUUA